UACGGGGGGAGCAAGCGUUGUUCGGAUUUACUGGGCGUAAAGGGCGCGUAGGCGGCCACCGCAAGUCGACUGUGAAAUCUCCGGGCUUAACCCGGAACGGUCAGCCGAUACUGCGGGGCUAGAGUGCAGAAGGGACAACUGGAAUUCUCGGUGUAGCGGUGAAAUGCGUAGAUAUCGGGAAGAACACCAGUGGCGAAAGCGGCUCUCUGGGGACCACCUGACGCUGAGGCGCGAAAGCUAGGGGAGCAAACAGG
rnacentral:rRNA from 1 species